CAAGUCUUGACAUCCUCCUGGAUACAGGGUAAUGCCUGUAGGCCUUCGGGACAGGAGAGACAGGUGGUGCAUGGUUGUCGUCAGCUCGUGUCGUGAGAUGUUGGGUUAAGUCCCGCAACGAGCGCAACCCCUAUCUUUAGUAGCCAGCGAGUGAAGUCGGGCACUCUAGAGAGACUGCCGGGGAUAACCCGGAGGAAGGUGGGGAUGACGUCAAAUCAUCAUGCCCCUUAUGAUUUGGGCUACACACGUGCUACAAUGGCGUAAACAGAGGGAAGCGAGCCUGCGAGGGGGAGCAAAUCCCAAAAAUAACGUCCCAGUUCGGAUUGUAGUCUGCAACCCGACUACAUGAAGCUGGAAUCGCUAGUAAUCGCGGAUCAGAAUGCCGCGGUGAAUACGUUCCGC
rnacentral:rRNA from 1 species